rnacentral:rRNA from 1 species
AGAACGAACGCUGGCGGCAGGCUUAACACAUGCAAGUCGAACGGUUGUAGCAAUACAGCAGUGGCAGACGGGUGAGUAACACGUGGGAACCUUCCUAGGGGUACGGAACAACUCAGGGAAACUUGAGCUAAUACCGUAUACGUCCGUGAGGAGAAAGAUUUAUCGCCCCUAGACGGGCCCGCGUAGGAUUAGGUAGUUGGUGAGGUAACGGCUCACCAAGCCUACGAUCCUUAGCUGAUCUGAGAGGAUGAUCAGCCACACUGGGACUGAGACACGGCCCCAGACUCCUACGGGAGGCAGCAGUGGGGAAUCUGGACAAGUGGGCGCAAGCCUGGAUCCAGCCAUCGCCGCGUGAGUGAAGACGGUCCUUCGGGUUGUAAGCUUCUUUACCGAGGGUAACGAUAAUGGUCGGACCGUAGGAGAAUAACGCCCGACAAACUUCGCGCCAGCAGCCGAC